AUGGCGCGUCAACACACGGGACUCCUUCCCCAGCUGGCUUUGGGAACGUCCAAAGUCGCCCCGUCCCCUUCUCCGUUCAAAGCAAACCUCCUUCUUCUUCUUCUUCCGUCCGUCCCCUUUCCACUGGUUUCACGCGUCCAGACCCGAUCGAGCAUCCAAAUUGCUCCAGGGAGCAUCCAACUCGGAGCAGAAGAGAUCGCAUCGCCCGACUAG
rnacentral:rRNA from 1 species